rnacentral:rRNA from 1 species
UACGGAGGGGGCGAGCGUUGUUCGGAGUUACUGGGCGUAAAGCGCACGUAGGCGGUGCGGUAAGUCAGGGGUUAAAGGCUGCAGCUCAACUGCAGUAAGGCCUUUGAUACUAUCGUGCUAGAGUGUCAGAGAGGAUGGCGGAAUUCCAGGUGUAGCGGUGAAAUGCGUAGAUAUCGGGAGGAACACCAGUAGCGAAGGCGGCCAUCUGGCUGAUAACUGACGCUGAGGUGCGAGAGCGUGGGGAGCAAACAGG